rnacentral:tRNA from 1 species
GCGAGAGUGGCGGAAUAGGCAGACGCACUGGACUUAGGAUCCAGCGCCUCCGGGCUUGCGGGUUCGACUCCCGCCUCUCGCACCA